GAUUCAGCGUACAGGAAUUAUUGUAGAAUAUGUAAAAAUUUCAAGACAAUAAAACCAUCGCAGGCCUGUAUAAUCGCAUUUGUUUCUAACGUUAGGUAAUUUUUAUAAGAUAUGAAAUUUUGUUGUGCAUAUUCUUUAAAUGAAUUACUUUGAUUGUUGGCCUUCAGUAAGUAAACAGCUCUUAUGUUGUUUGGAUAUUAAAUUCAGCUUGUAUUGGUUUUUCAGGGGGUUUAUGUGCUAAUCGGGAGGUUUCGGGUGAACGUGACAUGAUUGGCUGGUGGUCCUUGUAUUGUGGUUGGUGGAAAGAGUGACGAGUUGACUGACGCUAGACACAAACUGCUGAUUACAGGCCUGAGUGAGUCUCUGUUUAGCGACGGCUUCAUCGUGUUGGUGUAGAAAAUUUCUUAUUUUUUUCUUAGUUUCCAGAAUUUACCGAUGUAUUUGUAACUGUCUCAGUCUUUUUAAAAUCCAAACAACAUAGCGUGUGCCGCUAGGGCAGAAUUCUAUGUUUUCAUCCAUAUUUUAUAGACUUCAUAUUCUUAUAUCUUUCCCCAAAAUGCUUUCCGGUUUCUUUGAUGUAAGUCUUUUCAUAAGAGCUUGAUAUUUCAUAAAUGACGUUUUCGUGUUUGCCGUCAGAUGUUUUUGUUUAGUUUUAUCGAGAAUAAAUCUGUCUGUUUUGUAAGAUUUACAGCGGACGUUGAUGUUGAACUUUUUGGCUAGCAUUUGAUCUUCUCACUUAGAUGGGGUAAAUGGUGUUUGUAUUUCUAUGUUCUUCAACAGUUGGUAAUGAAACUAGAAGGGUACUUGUUCUGUUUAAAAUACUAUAUGAUGCGUUCUGUUAUGAUGAAGUUUUCUUUGUAGAUCUAUAAAAGAAUACAGGAUAAUCCUUGUAGAACCAAUUAGCAUAAACAUGAAUAAAGUAAGAUUUUAUCAAAUAGAUUGAUAACUCAGAUGUGUUUCAGAAUACAGAAUAAUCCUUGUAGAACCAGUUAGCAUAAA